rnacentral:rRNA from 1 species
CAACGAAUAUUCCGCAAUGGGCGCAAGCCUGACGGAGCGACGCCGCGUGCAGGAUGAAGCCCCUCGGGGCGUAAACUGCUGUCGGGGGUAGGCAAGCAAUGGGUUCGAAUAGGGCCCGGCGUUGAGCCGCCCCUAAGGAAGCCUCGGCUAACUUCGUGCCAGCAGCCGCGGUAAUACGGAGGAGGCAAGCGUUGUUCGGAAUCAUUGGGCUUAAAGCGCGUGUAGGCGGAUCGGUCAGUGUCGUGUGAAAGUCCUCGGCUCAACCGAGGAAUGGCUCGACAUACUGCCGGUCUUGAGGCAGGUAGGGGCGGGUGGAACUCUAGGUGGAGCGGUGAAAUGCGUAGAUAUCUAGAGGAACGCCGGUGGCGAAAGCGACCCGCUGGGCCUGUUCUGACGCUGAGACGCGAAAGCGUAGGGAGCAAACGGGAUUAGAUACCCCCGUAGUCC